rnacentral:rRNA from 1 species
UACAGAGGGUGCAAGCGUUAAUCGGAAUUACUGGGCGUAAAGCGCGCGUAGGUGGUUUGUUAAGUUGAAUGUGAAAUCCCCGGGCUCAACCUGGGAACUGCAUCCAAAACUGGCAAGCUAGAGUAUGGUAGAGGGUGGUGGAAUUUCCUGUGUAGCGGUGAAAUGCGUAGAUAUAGGAAGGAACACCAGUGGCGAAGGCGACCACCUGGACUGAUACUGACCACUGAGGUGCGAAAGCGUGGGGAGCAAACAGG